AAAAAAAAAAAAAACCAAAAAGAGUAGAUCUCCCCCCACAAUCCCUCUAUUUUUGGGUUAAGGGCUUGUAGUCAUCAUUAGUGUAAUUAAUUAUUUUUCAGAAAAUAUAUAGUAACUACUGAUCAACCUACUUUUUUUUUUUAUUACAUGCUUGUAUAUUAUUCAGUAAAUAUAUAAGAAGGAACGAGUAUUAUUUAUUUGUUGAAAAAAAA
rnacentral:misc_RNA from 1 species